UUAUUGUUGUGCCAAACUUGUUGCGAAGCAAGGACGGAAAGCCUCCGGUCUCAAGUAGAUAGCGGGGUUGCCAUA
rnacentral:ncRNA from 1 species